UUUAGGUGAUGGUUCGACUGA
rnacentral:piRNA from 1 species